CUGCCUAUCAUCUUCAUCUUCCUCAUCUUCACUUCACCUUCCUCAGGACGAGCUCAUGGCCCGAGCCUCGAGCCAGGUUUAAACGAAAAACUAAACCCUUACAAUCAGAGAAUUGUGAUGAGAAAGGUUUUGGGAAUGGAUGCAACGUUGAUGGACUACCAUGAACCAGGUGCUAACCCAAGCCACGAGCCAAGAAGGGGAAGCCCCGGAGGUCGAGCAAGUUUCAAUCCAUGAAUUAAUAUUCAAUGCGUUACAUAAAGUUUCUGUAAAUUUUUAAGUUUAAUCCAAUGAAUAAAAAUAUAUGAUAUGAUGUAUGUAUGGAUU